rnacentral:rRNA from 1 species
AGAGUUUGAUCCUGGCNCAGGACGAACGUUGGCGGCGUGCCUAACACAUGCAAGUCGAGGGUAGCAAUACACUGGCGCACGGGUGAGUAACGCGUAGAUUAUCUGCCCCUUUCACAGGGAUAACCCGGGGAAACUCGGACUAAUAUCUGAUGAGGCAAUUUAUUGUCAAAGUGGCGACACGGAAAGGGAUGAGUCUGCGUCCGAUUAGCUUGUUGGUAAGGUAACGGCUUACCAAGGCGAUGAUCGGUAACUGGUCUGAGAGGACGAUCAGUCACACUGGAACUGAGACACGGUCCAGACUCCUACGGGAGGCAGCAGUGAGGAAUAUUGGUCAAUGGGGGCAACCCUGAACCAGCGACGCCGCGUGAGGGAUGACAGGGCUUUGCCCCGUAAACCUCUGUCGAGUGGGAAAAAAGGGAGCUUUUGGCUUCUGGGCUUGUACCACUGGAGGAAGCACCGGCUAACUACGUGCCAGCAGCCGCGGUAAUACGUAGGGUGCAAACGUUGUCCGGAAUUACUGGGUGUAAAGGGUGCACAGGCGGCUUUUUGCGUCAGAGGUAAGAUGCCACUGCUCAACAGUGGAUCUGCCUUUGAUACGGGGAGGCUUGAAUGCAAGAGAGGAUGAUAGAAUUCCUGGUGUAGCGGUGAAAUGCGUAGAUAUCAGGAGGAAUACCAGUGGCGAAGGCGGUCAUCUGGCUUGUCAUUGACGCUUAAGCA